ACAGGAAGGGAAGACUAGCAAACUCAGUCAUGUUAGUGCCGCUCUCGUGACAAAGUCGUCUCAGGAUGAAUUCCUUGCAGACUUUUGUUGUUUUUAUAAACGCCCUACAUUAAUUUACCAAAACACUGCCAUGCUAGUUGGCAUCAUAGUCAUUUCAAUCCAAAUUGUGAGGAAUGCAGUGGAUAUACCUGAAAGAGACCAUGUCCAAUAUGCAAGGGCAGGUGUCAGGCUGUAUGGACCAGAGAUAUUGACAUGUCACAAAAUGAAGUUUUCUUACUGGAAUGAAGAUCAUCAGCUACCUCAGGCUGAAAAACAGGUAUACCUUGUGAGGGUGUUUGUUAAAAACAGCGAAGAUGCUCUGAUUCACAGCAAUGAAUGAUUUGUGUGGAAGCUGAGGAAGAUAGUUGCUAGACAUGCUGUGUGGCUUUAAGAUGCUGCAAUGGCUUCUGAAAACUACGGAAGACAGGAAAACAGAUAAGAGUGCUGGCCAAUGCAGUUGAUCCAAAGGGUGUGUCUUCCCUUCAUUUUAUUUUAAUUGGAAUAUUGAUACAUGUACUUCUGAAACAGUUUUUAAAAAAGGUUGCUGAGU